rnacentral:rRNA from 1 species
AGUGAACGUUGGCGGCGUGGAUUAGGCAUGCGAGUCGAGCGAGAACCGUAGCAAUACGGGGACAGCGGCGAAAGGGACAGUAAUAUGUAGGUACCUACCCCGAGGUCUGGGAUAGCUGCGGGAAACUGCAGGUAAUACCGGAUAAUGUCCUCGGACCAAAGGUGUGAUUCCACCUCGGGAGGGGCCUGCAUCCUAUUAGCUAGUUGGCGGGGUAACGGCCCACCAAGGCGACGAUGGGUAGCGGGUGUGAGAGCACGACCCGCGUCAUUGGGACUGAGACACUGCCCAGACACCUACGGGUGGCUGCAGUCGAGAAUCUUCGGCAAUGGGGGAAACCCUGACCGAGCGACGCCGCGUGCGGGAUGAAGGCCCUCGGGUUGUAAACCGCUGUCGUAGAGGAGGAAAUGCAGGGGGGUUCUCCCCUUUGCUUGACCUAUUCUAGGAGGAAGUACGGGCUAAGUUCGUGCCAGCCGCCGCGGUAA